rnacentral:lncRNA from 1 species
CUUCUCGCUUCGAUAAGCUUCUCCUCUUGCAAUCUAGCAAGACCGGCAGCCUGGGUGACCGUCAAUGGUUGCAAGGGAAGAACCUCACGACGGAUGUCGGCAUUGAGGCCUGAGACAAAGCAGCUGAGGAGAAAGUGCGGAGGGAGACCGACAACGCGGUUCGCGAGAUCCUCAAAUUCAGAAAGGUAAGCUUGUACUGUGGUUUUCUGAGUCAAUUUGAAUAAGGCCCCAGUUGGAUCCUCGUAGUGGGAGGGGGCAAAACGAAUUUGCAGGGCAUGGAGGAAACUCUGCCAGGAGGAGAGUUGGCCAUUACCAGCCAUCCACUGGUACCAGGCCAAAGCUCUGCCGUCCAUGUAAAAGGACGCAAUGGUGAGUCGGUCUUGGUCCGGGGUGUGAUGGUAUUCGAAAUACUGAGUGAUUUUGAAUAUCCAGCCUAAUGGGUCCGACCCAUCGAACCGGGGAACAUCGAGCUUGACGCGAGGGUGAGGGGAUGAGGGUGAAGUCGGGGAAACGUGUGGGGGUGAGCUUGGGGAGGGUGCGGGAGAUUUGGUGGUGAGGGUGGAAAUGAGGGUGUCGAGCUUAUGGGUCAUGGUUUGCAGGUUUUCACUGAGACUGAGUUGAUGAAUGGUGAGCUUAGCUAUGGCGUCUUCCAACUUUUCAGAGUUGGACUUCGAGGCCAUGAGAGCGAGACGAGAGCACCAAAUUGUUAGGAAUGCGUUUAUAAAUUCUGGGCUUCGAGGGCCAGACCUCCCAAAACAAAGAAGAAAGCUAAGUUUGUGAUUGUAAUUCGUUCCCUGCCUUAUUUCAUUUAGAUGGUAUUUAUAAUGGAUUACAAUAACAGAAUUUGUAAUUCUGUGAUGACAGGUCCUAACGGAAAUGAGAAAAUAUUCCUAAAGUGGCAGACAAGAUCAAGGCACCGAUCCUUAGAUGUCCAGCUCAUCAAUUUCGGUUAUCCAGCUCAGCUUCUCUGCUCAAACGAAGUCUCUGAGGUAUGUUGGUAUCUUCUUCUUCCUUUUGGGUCUGCUUUCUACUUCCUUGCUAUCAAUAUCCUUCUUCCCAAACCGAUUCUUUUUUAUGGUCCAUGGCAUUGCGUUGCCAAAGCAAAAGUAAAAAUACUUGUACAAGAUAUGGUGGUAUUUGUAGGUUACUUAUAAAAUACCUACAUAUACACCUGUGGAAAUUUUCUAAAAUUCUCUGUUAACAACACCAGAUCAAACUAGAAUGUAAGUUUUUUUUU